CUGGGGUCCCUUAGAGUUUAGGACACGCCCGCCUGUGGGGGAGGAAGGGGAGGGAAAAGUGCAGUCGUGCUCCAGGGAGGGAGAUUGUGCCCACCAGGACCCUAGGUGUGGAACCUUCCCCUGUAGGAACAGAGUUCAGGGGCUGGGGUGUGGGAUGGGAAAGAAAGACACAUUUCAGUCCUUGGAGCAAAGGUCUGAGAUUGGAAUGUGGGUACUUUGUAGGCACUCAGGUUUGGCUGUAGGAACACAUGACCGAUAAAUAACAUCCCAAGCAGAGGGUCUCUUGCUUGCUCUUCCUCUGAGUUUCUCUGUGGGAUGGUGAGGGGUGUUUUCCUCCAUUCACCCACUUCUCUGAUUCUCGGACACCAAUUGUGUUUCCUACAGCUCAGCUCAACUCCGACGUGAACUCCCUGGAGUCAGCCUCAGACCCCAUACGGUCAGGGUCCAUCCCACAAGACGGCCCUCCCCUCAGAGCAAGUCUCAAGUUCAGAUUCCCAUGUUACUUGCAGGUCUGUCCGAUUUGCCUACAAAAAGUAGGGGCUCCCCACAAAGUUCAUUAAUUUGCUGGAUCAACUCACAGAAGUCAGGAAAAUGCUGUGUUUACUGUACAUUUUAUUACAAACAAUACAAGUGAGCAGCCAGAUGAUGAGGGACAUGGGGUGAGGUGGGGAAGAGUCCCAAGUGCUCAAGUGUCUGUCACCACGGAGUUGGAAAGUGUCACCCCCAACUCCCAGCAUGGGGAGGGGUUCACUACUUCAGAAGCUCUCUGAACCCCAUUACUAGGGGGUUUUAUGGAGGUGUCACUAUGUAGACAGAUUGGCCAUUGGUGAUGGAACUGGAACCCCAGCCCCUCUCUCAGAGGCUGGGCAGUGAGGCUGAAAGUUCUGACCCUCUGAUCAAACUUGCUCUUUCUGGUGAUCGGCCCCCAUCCUGAAACUGUCCAGGACCUUCGGCCAAGCGCCAUCUCACUAGCAUCCUUGUCACUCAGGAGACUGCAACGGUUUUAGGAGCUCUGUGCCGGGAACCAGGGACAGUCAGACCUCAGUUCUCGAAUGUCUCCCAUCUGGAACAAUUAAAUUUGCGACAAAAAUGUUUAUGGAAAAUAUGUCUCAGUUGUCGAACAAAGUUUUGAUUCUUUACCUGACAACCCUUUCAGGCUGAUACCUGUAUGAUUGGUCACCUGUAUGACUGGGAUCUCAAACAAACCGCUUCUCGAACAGUAUUCUGGAAUGAAUUAAACCCGAGAAGUAAGGUUUUGCUGCAUUUCUGUAUCAGACCGCAGGUCUCUGACCACAGACCCGUGAGCAGGAAAGGGCAUCAGAGCAGACCGGAA